UACAGAGGUCUCAAGCGUUGUUCGGAUUCAUUGGGCGUAAAGGGUGCGUAGGCGGCGCUGUAAGUCGGGUGUGAAAUCCUGAGGCUUAACCUCGGAACUGCAUUCGAUACUGCGGUGCUUGAGGACUGGAGAGGAGACUGGAAUUCAUGGUGUAGCAGUGAAAUGCGUAGAGAUCAUGAGGAAGACCAGUGGCGAAGGCGGGUCUCUGGACAGUUCCUGACACUGAGGCACGAAGGCCAGGGGAGCAAACGGG
rnacentral:rRNA from 1 species